UACAGAGGUCCCAAGCGUUGUUCGGAUUCAUUGGGCGUAAAGGGUGCGUAGGCGGCGAGGUAAGUCAGGUGUGAAAUCCCGGAGCUUAACUCCGGAACUGCACUUGAUACUGCCUUGCUCGAGUACUGGAGAGGAGACUGGAAUUUACGGUGUAGCAGUGAAAUGCGUAGAUAUCUGGAGGAACACCGGUGGCGAAGGCGGCAUCCUGGACCGGUAUUGACGCUGAGGCGCGAAAGCCAGGGGAGCAAACGGG
rnacentral:rRNA from 1 species